GUUAUAACCGGCGAUUUCCGAAUGGGGAAACCCAGUGUGUUUCGACACACUAUCAUUAACUGAAUCCAUAGGUUAAUGAGGCGAACCGGGGGAACUGAAACAUCUAAGUACCCCGAGGAAAAGAAAUCAACCGAGAUUCCCCCAGUAGCGGCGAGCGAACGGGGAGGAGCCCAGAGCCUGAAUCAGUGUGUGUGUUAGUGGAAGCGUCUGGAAAGGCGUGCGAUACAGGGUGACAGCCCCGUACACAAAAAUGCACAUAUUGUGAGCUCGAUGAGUAGGGCGGGACACGUGGUAUCCUGUCUGAAUAUGGGGGGACCAUCCUCCAAGGCUAAAUACUCCUGACUGACCGAUAGUGAACCAGUACCGUGAGGGAAAGGCGAAAAGAACCCCGGCGAGGGGAGUGAAAAAGAACCUGAAACCGUGUACGUACAAGCAGUGGGAGCCUCUUAAUGGGGUGACUGCGUACCUUUUGUAUAAUGGGUCAGCGACUUAUAUUCUGUAGCAAGGUUAACCGAAUAGGGGAGCCGAAGGGAAACCGAGUCUUAACUGGGCGUUAAGUUGCAGGGUAUAGACCCGAAACCCGGUGAUCUAGCCAUGGGCAGGUUGAAGGUUGGGUAACACUAACUGGAGGACCGAACCGACUAAUGUUGAAAAAUUAGCGGAUGACUUGUGGCUGGGGGUGAAAGGCCAAUCAAACCGGGAGAUAGCUGGUUCUCCCCGAAAGCUAUUUAGGUAGCGCCUCGUGAAUUCAUCUCCGGGGGUAGAGCACUGUUUCGGCAAGGGGGUCAUCCCGACUUACCAACCCGAUGCAAACUGCGAAUACCGGAGAAUGUUAUCACGGGAGACACACGGCGGGUGCUAACGUCCGUCGUGAAGAGGGAAACAACCCAGACCGCCAGCUAAGGUCCCAAAGUCAUGGUUAAGUGGGAAACGAUGUGGGAAGGCCCAGACAGCCAGGAUGUUGGCUUAGAAGCAGCCAUCAUUUAAAGAAAGCGUAAUAGCUCACUGGUCGAGUCGGCCUGCGCGGAAGAUGUAACGGGGCUAAACCAUGCACCGAAGCUGCGGCAGCGACACUAUGUGUUGUUGGGUAGGGGAGCGUUCUGUAAGCCUGUGAAGGUGGCCUGUGAGGGUUGCUGGAGGUAUCAGAAGUGCGAAUGCUGACAUAAGUAACGAUAAAGCGGGUGAAAAGCCCGCUCGCCGGAAGACCAAGGGUUCCUGUCCAACGUUAAUCGGGGCAGGGUGAGUCGACCCCUAAGGCGAGGCCGAAAGGCGUAGUCGAUGGGAAACAGGUUAAUAUUCCUGUACUUGGUGUUACUGCGAAGGGGGGACGGAGAAGGCUAUGUUGGCCGGGCGACGGUUGUCCCGGUUUAAGCGUGUAGGCUGGUUUUCCAGGCAAAUCCGGAAAACCAAGGCUGAGGCGUGAUGACGAGGCACUACGGUGCUGAAGCGACAAAUGCCCUGCUUCCAGGAAAAGCCUCUAAGCAUCAGGUAACAUCAAAUCGUACCCCAAACCGACACAGGUGGUCAGGUAGAGAAUACCAAGGCGCUUGAGAGAACUCGGGUGAAGGAACUAGGCAAAAUGGUGCCGUAACUUCGGGAGAAGGCACGCUGAUAUGUAGGUGAAGCGACUUGCUCGUGGAGCUGAAAUCAGUCGAAGAUACCAGCUGGCUGCAACUGUUUAUUAAAAACACAGCACUGUGCAAACACGAAAGUGGACGUAUACGGUGUGACGCCUGCCCGGUGCCGGAAGGUUAAUUGAUGGGGUUAGCGGUAACGCGAAGCUCUUGAUCGAAGCCCCGGUAAACGGCGGCCGUAACUAUAACGGUCCUAAGGUAGCGAAAUUCCUUGUCGGGUAAGUUCCGACCUGCACGAAUGGCGUAAUGAUGGCCAGGCUGUCUCCACCCGAGACUCAGUGAAAUUGAACUCGCUGUGAAGAUGCAGUGUACCCGCGGCAAGACGGAAAGACCCCGUGAACCUUUACUAUAGCUUGACACUGAACAUUGAGCCUUGAUGUGUAGGAUAGGUGGGAGGCUUUGAAGUGUGGACGCCAGUCUGCAUGGAGCCGACCUUGAAAUACCACCCUUUAAUGUUUGAUGUUCUAACGUUGGCCCGUAAUCCGGGUUGCGGACAGUGUCUGGUGGGUAGUUUGACUGGGGCGGUCUCCUCCUAAAGAGUAACGGAGGAGCACGAAGGUUGGCUAAUCCUGGUCGGACAUCAGGAGGUUAGUGCAAUGGCAUAAGCCAGCUUGACUGCGAGCGUGACGGCGCGAGCAGGUGCGAAAGCAGGUCAUAGUGAUCCGGUGGUUCUGAAUGGAAGGGCCAUCGCUCAACGGAUAAAAGGUACUCCGGGGAUAACAGGCUGAUACCGCCCAAGAGUUCAUAUCGACGGCGGUGUUUGGCACCUCGAUGUCGGCUCAUCACAUCCUGGGGCUGAAGUAGGUCCCAAGGGUAUGGCUGUUCGCCAUUUAAAGUGGUACGCGAGCUGGGUUUAGAACGUCGUGAGACAGUUCGGUCCCUAUCUGCCGUGGGCGCUGGAGAACUGAGGGGGGCUGCUCCUAGUACGAGAGGACCGGAGUGGACGCAUCACUGGUGUUCGGGUUGUCAUGCCAAUGGCACUGCCCGGUAGCUAAAUGCGGAAGAGAUAAGUGCUGAAAGCAUCUAAGCACGAAACUUGCCCCGAGAUGAGUUCUCCCUGAGACUUAGAGUCUCCUGAAGGAACGUUGAAGACGACGACGUUGAUAGGCCGGGUGUGUAAGCGCAGCGAUGCGUUGAGCUAACCGGUACUAAUGAACCGUGAGGCUUAACCUUACAACGCCGAAG
rnacentral:rRNA from 1 species